UUUGAGGUUAGUUUUGGCUAGUUAAACAAAAUGGUUAAUGUAGAUAUAAUUCGUGUUCUCUUUUAGCGAUGUUUUUCGUUAUAUUUUAAAAACAAACACGGAUUUUUGCGCUGAGCUGUUGCUCCCACUUACAAAUGGCGCAUCAGGCUGUAAGCAUAAUUAAUGUGAAAAAGGCAAGUUUUAUCGAUUUCUGAAGAAUCCAAAGACAAGAAGCAAAUGGAUAAAACUAACAGGAAGGGUACAACCAGGUCAUGGAGCUUCUUUGUGCAGCUGUGUCAUAAACAAUCAAGGAAAAAUCUUUGAGUACAAAUCUCCAGAGAAAAAGAAGUUUCUCUUUGUAAUAAAAGCACUCUAGGUUCCCAAUCUAGAGAGAAGUUUAAAAUUGAGCCACAAUUAUCUACAUCUCCAGAAUCAAGUGACAUUUCAAAAAGAGGUCAUGCAGUGGUUGAAGCGAAAAAUAUAAUUACCUUUUACAGUGCUGUAUGUAAUAAAUUAUAAUACCAAUGUAGUACUCAUCAUACCUUUUAAAAUCAAAAAUAAGAGUUGCAGAGUUACUUUAAAUUACCACAAUUAUUAUUUUCAUAUAAAAUGCACAUGAAUACUUUUUAAGACUUUUAUCAAUUUAAAAACUCUUACACAUAUCCAUAACGCAAUGUGAAGUUAGCUAGAUUUGUCUAGGUACAAUCAACAGGUUACCACAAAUUAUAGCCUCACAAUAAUGACGCCUAUAAUAGAAAA